rnacentral:rRNA from 1 species
UACGAAGGGGGCUAGCGUUGCUCGGAAUCACUGGGCGUAAAGGGUGCGUAGGCGGGUCUUUUAAGUCAGGGGUGAAAUCCUGGAGCUCAACUCCAGAACUGCCUUUGAUACUGAAGAUCUUGAGUCCGGGAGAGGUGAGUGGAACUGCGAGUGUAGAGGUGAAAUUCGUAGAUAUUCGCAAGAACACCAGUGGCGAAGGCGGCUCACUGGCCCGGUACUGACGCUGAGGCACGAAAGCGUGGGGAGCAACAGGG